rnacentral:rRNA from 1 species
UAAACUAGGAUUAGAUACCCUACUAUUCAGAAGUUAAGAUUGUUAGUAUAUAAUGAUUAUGAAAACAAAAAAUUAUGGCGGUACUUCAAACUUAUCAGAGGAAUUUGCUCUAUAAUGGAUAAAACACCUUAAUCUUACUAAAAUUAGUUAAGUCAGCUUGUAUACCACUAUAAAAGUGAUAAAUAACUAUUAUUACUUUAAUUUUUUAUUUAUAAAAAAUUAAAUUAAGUCAUGGUGCAGCAGAAGUUUUAGGAUGAAGUGAAUUACAUAACUUUUUAGUUAUAAAAAAUUAAAGUAAUUUUUAGGAUUUGAAAGUAAAAAUUUAAUAGAAUGAAAUUUUGAAUUGAGUUCUGAAGUAUGUACAUAUCGCCCGUCACUCUUUA